UUCUCAACAAUGGGAUUACGCACAAAAAUCUGGCGUACGCUCCUUUUCGCAGCCAAGUUGAGAUGUAUCAAGACUUGCGUUGAUGUGGAAAUGUGCGCUGCCUCACGGUAACUUCUGGAGCCUAUCCAUAUUACAUCAUUUUCACAUGAAACUCUAAUAUGGCUGUAAGCAGUAUGAACACAUUGUGUUGUAAAGUACACAAAUUAUAUUUAAAUAGGGAGUAAACCGAGUCACCCACCUGUGCUUAAGUUGACGUAUCAUUGCAGCGACUAUUUUUUUAAACGGGGUGCAGCACUACAUUAUUUCCGGUCCAUUCAUCUGUUUUGGCCAGGCUCAUCUAUCUUCUUCUUCACCUUCUUCCUUCCUGACCCGACCACUCCUUUUUUUAUUCCAGCCAGUGUUAAGUUCUCGGAGAGCAUCGAGCAAUGACCAUUCGUUGAAAUAAUGAAAAACAAGCACCUCCCACUGACGCAUACUAAAUCCUGAUUGGGCAGCAUGUGCCACGCUCAGGCACAAGGCUACUUUCAAUAUUAUUUGCAUAGUUAUAAGUGGGUAGGGUCUGAUUUUUGCAUACAUCUGAAUUCUUACAUGCAUCCGUCGUUUUCUGGAUUUGAACAAACGUCUAUUUUUAGUAGGAAAUCCCCACAACUUUUAUUAAACAAGGCCCCUGGAUCUUUCAUUUUGGAGUGAUUUUUAACUCACGUCGUCUCUUUGUAGUUUUCUGAGCAACUCGUCUUCGUCAGAUUCUUUCCUCUCUUGUUUCACAGGUUUACAGGUAGGAGACACGUCGGAGUCACACACGUCCGAAGCAGCAAUCCAGCCUCGUGUCAGCAGGACCCUGCUCGAAGAUGGAGUGAGACUGGAUGGUCUCAGGUUUUGCUUUUCUCCUUCCUCUGUUCUCUCUUCUCCUCCCGUCCCUCUGUCUACUCCCUCUUUUUGGAGCAACUCGGACCUCUUCCUUCAAACUGGAAUCAACCGUUAUGUUUGAUGUCAAUACGACAUGUUCACAGUUCUGUAUUAAUCAUAAUGAUGACCACUUACUCAUCUUUGCUUUUCCUCACAGCGUGAAUGUUCGGUUCAAAUGUUUUCUUUGGAAAACAGAAAAAGAGAUCUGUUAAAAAAUGAUUAGUUGUAAAUGAAUAAUAAUAUCACAUUAUUCUUAUAGGGCAUUGCACGGGUUCUCUCUUGAUAGGUUUGGUUGUUAUAAUCAGUCAUCAACAAUUGAGAACAGAGAAAUGGAUAUUGGAACAGUGUAGGUCUGACUUGGUAGGAUUUUGACAGCAAGUAGUGGGCAGAGAGAGAGAGAGAGAGAGAGAGAGAGAGAGAGAGAGAGAGAGAGAGAGAGAGAGAGAGAGAGAUCAGAAGGCAUAAGAAAAAGUAUCUGCAUUUGAUUGUUUACAUUUGAUUAUUAACAAUCCGGGGAGGGUGUUAGUUUAGGGUUGUAGCUGCCUGGAGGUGAACCUUUAUUGCGGUUUUGAAGGAGGAUAGAGAUGCACUUUCUUUUAUACCUGUUGGGAGCGCAUUCCAUAUUGAUGUGGCAUAGAAAGAGAAUGAGUUAAGAUCUUUGUUAGUUCGGAAUCUGGGUUUAACGUGGUUAGUGCCGCAGGAAGUACAUCCUCUGCUGGGCCUUCUUGAUGAGGGAGCUGAUGGUCGGCUCCCACUUGAGGUCCUGGGGGAUGGUGGUACCCAAGAAACGGAAGGAGUCCACGAUGGAGACGGGAUAAUCCAUCAAGUUUAGGGGGGAUGGUGGGGCUUUGACUUUCCUGAAGUCCAUGAUCAUCUCCACUGUUUUCUGGGCGUUCAGUUCCAGGUUUGCGGCUGCACCAGGACGCCAGCCGGUCCACCUCUCUCCUGUAGGCGGACUCAUCGCCAUUCAAGAGGAGCCCAAUGAGGGUGGUGACGUCCGCAAACUUGAGCAGCUUUACGGACUGGUGACUGGAGGUGCAGCAGUUUGUAUACAGGGAGAAGAGCCAAGGGGAAAGUACACAGCCCUGAGGAGUACCAGUGUUUGUGGUUCAACUGUCCGAGACAAUCUUCCCCGGCUGCACGUGCUGUCUUCGGUCCGUCAGGAAGUCAUUGAUCCAACUGCAGAGGGAGUCGGGCACGCUGAGCUGGUAGAGCUUGUCUCGUAGCAGUCCAGGGAGGAUGGUGUUGAAGGCAGAGCUGAAGUCCACAAACAGGAUCCUGGCGUAGGUUCCUGGGGAGUCCAGAUGCUCUAGGUUGAAGUGGAGGGCCAGGUUCACUGCAUCAUCCACAGACCUGUUGGCUCUGUAGACGAACUGCAGUGGGUUCCAGGAGGGGGGCGGUGAUGUCCUUGAGGUGGGGCAGGACCAAGCGCUCAAAAGACUUCAUGACCACAAACGUCAGCGCCACCGGCCUGUAGUCAUUAAGUCCUGUGAUCCGUUGUUUUUGGGGACAGGGACGAUGGUGGAGGUCUUGAAGCAGGACGGCACACGGCAUAGCUCCAGAGGUGUUAAAAAUGUCAGUGAAGACAGGAGCAAGAACCAACCUUUAUCCUGUGUAAUUCUAUUGCUUUUUUUUUUGUUUAUACCAAACUGUAUUUUUUAUGUAACAUGAUUCCUACAUGUAUGUGUACUUCAUAUGUAUAUUAAUGUACUUUCCUUUGUGUGCUUAGUUUUACAGCGACUUCACUGUAGAGACUCAGCAGCGAGUUGGACAUUCAGGAAGGGCAAGAUAUUAUAUGUAAACAAACCAGGAGUGAAUAAAAUAGUGCAGCCUGUGUAACAUUGUAGUAAUAAAAAUAAGCAGCAAAACAAUAUAACAAGAAAAAAAUACACAUAUAUGUCUUUAAAUACAAGUAUAACUUUCUUCAGCCUUAAAAACAUUUUUUU